UUGGGAAUCUUGGACAGUGGGGGAAACCCUGAUCCAGCCAUGCCGCGUGAGUGAUGAAGGCCUUCGGGUUGUAAAACUCUUUCGACGGGGACGAUAAUGACGGUGCCCGUAGAAGAAGCUCCGGCUAACUUCGUGCCAGCAGCCGCGGUAAUACGAAGGGGGCUAGCGUUGUUCGGAAUUACUGGGCGUAAAGCGCGCGCAGGCGGCUAUCCAAGUCAGUGGUGAAAGCCCGGAGCUCAACUCCGGAACUGCCAUUGAAACUGUUUCGCUUGAGGAAGAGAGAGUUGAGUGGAAUUCCCAGUGUAGAGGUGAAAUUCGUAGAUAUUGGGAAGAACACCAGUGGCGAAGGCGGCUCACUGGCUCGUAUCGGACGCUCAGGCGCGAUAGCGUGGGGAUCAAACA
rnacentral:rRNA from 1 species